GAGCGAACGCUGGCGGCAGGCUUAACACAUGCAAGUCGAGCGGGCGUAGCAAUACGUCCGCGGCAGACGGGUGAGUAACGCGUGGGAACGUACCUUUUGGUUCGGAACAACACAGGGAAACUUGUGCUAAUACCGGAUAAGCCCUUACGGGGAAAGAUUUAUCGCCGAAAGAUCGGCCCGCGUCUGAUUAGCUAGUUGGUGAGGUAACGGCUCACCAAGGCGACGAUCAGUAGCUGGUCUGAGAGGAUGAUCAGCCACAUUGGGACUGAGACACGGCCCAAACUCCUACGGGAGGCAGCAGUGGGGAAUAUUGGACAAUGGGGGCAACCCUGAUCCAGCCAUGCCGCGUGAGUGAUGAAGGCCCUAGGGUUGUAAAGCUCUUUUGUGCGGGAAGAUAAUGACGGUACCGCAAGAAUAAGCCCCGGCUAACUUCGUG
rnacentral:rRNA from 1 species